CUCUUCUUAUCUUUGUCCAGCUGCCAAAAGUUUAGUUAUUAAGAUCUCACACGUUCCUGGCAACAAAAUGAAUCAAGCUUUCCCUGAGGUCUAUGAUACUUUGGAACCUGCAACUGUUACUGUGCAAUCGAACUCACAGCAUUCUAUUACACUGAAGACAUAAGAUGUUUUUAUUCAGGUUGUCUCUUCCCACAACAUCCCACUUAGGGAAGAUGCAAGAAUGACUUUUCAGACUGCAGAGCCCUCAGGCUUUCUGCCUCUCCAUCCCACUGUUACUCCAUGGUUUCCUCUCUUCCCAGUUCAUGAUAGCACCACAGGACUGCAUGAGCCAGGCUACUAAAAUCAUCUUGGUCUAUCACUGUGCCUUGCCCUUCUCCAGAGGAAGAUGUGUGCAAUUCUUCUGCUGCACCAUUUGAUACUUUAAAGAGACAUCCGAGAAAUCCUGCCGGGGGAACACACUACCAUCAUGGGCCAACGCUCAGCAGCAGGAGCAUCUCCAGGGCCAUUUUCAGAAGUGGAUGAUGUCUGGAUGGGCCAGGAGGAGAGCUGCUGUGCCCAGCCCAUGCCACUGGGUGUCCUCAUGAGGCCAGCUACACUGGUCUGGGGGCCUUCGGCGGUGGCACAUGUUGCAAAACACACGGGAAAGGGAUUGGGCUGGUGUUUUAUUUGUCGUUGGGCGAUGGCCAAUAUCAAAUUGACUCAUAUAGUACAUCACCCGCCGAGAAACCCAGCCACAAAAUUAAUUGGCAUGAAUAUGAAAUGUAUACUUCUCCUAAUCAGCUUCAGCGAAGAUUAUAUCCAAAGGCCCUUUUUGCGGUCAUUCACAGAGCUUAAUUGCUAUAGUUAAUAUUACAAUUAAAAAAAAAGGCCUGGGAGGAGAGCUGAAUAUUAGGCUCAUGAUGAAUGAUAAUUAUCACUUUGUGUAGAUGGGUGAAAAACGUUUCUAAUUAAAUUAUUCUUGUAGCAUAAAUUAAUAGUGUGAUCUGGAUAAAGCGCUUUUGAUUUCCCAUUUAGAGUAUUUCUAAAAGUGCCACGUUUGUGCCAGAAUUUCAGUCUGUAGGUCAACCUGCCUUUUAAAAAUACCUGACUUCUCAGUGAAUUUAGUUGCUUAUCACAGCUUUCUGCAGUGAUGUUCUGCAAUAAUGGGAUGGUUCAAACAUUGCACAGAGAAUAAAAUCAACUAUGCAACUAAUAGUUCUGUGAGCUGGGGAAUUCAUAGCAUAAUUGGCAGGGUUUCAUAGCAUAACUGUCACAUCUUAUUCCUAUAGCAAUUUCAUCUCUGUCUGAGGAUUUUUGCAAGACACAAACCAUUAAGCUAAUACUCUAAAAACAGGAAAGCUCAUUAGCAGCUCUAGGGAAGGGGGUGAGAUGGGUGCUGAAGGUGCCGGUCAUUAAGGUCUGAGAGAAAAGGAAGUGUGAAAGUUGCUAGGAAGAAUUACUCUACAUGCACUCUGCCUGUGCUCGGGAAAAAUCCCAUCAUUUUUGUAUACCUAGCAUUUCUUCCUCAUCAGUGAGAGCCACAGUGAGUAAAGCAAACAGGCCGAUGUAGCGGGCUCAGCUGAAAGUGUCAGCCUGCACUUCAGGCAGUGGAUUACAGAUAAUGACUCUCAGAUGACCAGUAGCUCCGUGGCCUAAUAUAUACAGCUUACUUGUUAGGUGUUGACAGCAGCCUUUUCCAGCAGGCCUCGGUAGACAUUCAUUUUAAGUUUCGAAAGUGACUGUCCCUGCCUGCAACAGGCCGUUUUUGAAGGUUAUAAGUGGGAGAUAGAUGGCCACUUUCUGUCAAGAUAAUGGGAAUUUUGUGUCAGAGCCCUCUCCGUGCAUACGGAAGACUGUCCCUGGGAUUUUCUGCAUGCAUGCCCUCUCGUGUAUGCAGUACAUUAGCGCUUACUGUAUAUAUCAAAAUUUGGCACUGCUGUAUCUCUCUAAACAUUGCAUUAAUCCAUCUGUCUGUCACCAUAGUAACAAGGCUCCCUAUUGAUGACUGAAGACGAGCUGAACCAUUACAACUAAAUGUGCAUGGUUAAAAAGAAGUGAGGAAGCUCACUUGGUGUGAGCUACAGGGACACUGUGGACAUAUGGUAGAAAAUGGGCUAAUUAAUGCUCUCUAUGCAUUAUUUUUAUUCAUGGUCAUCCUAAAUAAAGCCUAUUGCUAAAACAGUCCUUAAAUCUGAUCUUUGCUUGCUCACAUUUACUUAUUACAAUUUCUGAAGAAGUCAACAUUAAAAAAUGUGUAUUUUUUCAGAAGUUUACAUGUUCUGUGGUACAGAUAUCUCCCAGAGGGUGGAAAGAUGAAAUGAAUAACUUAAAGAUCCCAAGUACAAAGCAGACCAGAAAUGUUGCUGAAUAUUUCACGGCACAUAUUCUCUCUCUCUCUCUCUCUCUCUCAAUUCCAUGCUUGUAACAUUGCCAAAGUAAAAUCAGUAAAGUGCAUGCAUUCAUUAAAGGAUCAAUGUCUAACUGAACACUGGUAGUUAGUUGGACCUGAGAUUUUUUUGAGAACCAUAAUGUUGUGGAAACUCUGACAUGAAUUACUGUACUUUGUAAAUCAUUCUUAGACAAUGAAUUUCCAUUUUUUAUUACUCUGGCGCCAUGCAUGCUAUUAAUGGUAGACUCGAGUCUAUAAUUCUAUUAGGCUAUAAAGAGGUCUUUGGUUUUAGACCAGAAAUAAAGCUUAAAACUAACCACUGGCAUCUC